AUUGAACGCUGGCGGCAGGCCUAACACAUGCAAGUCGAACGGUAACAGGAAGCAGCUUGCUGCUUUGCUGACGAGUGGCGGACGGGUGAGUAAUGUCUGGGAAACUGCCUGAUGGAGGGGGAUAACUACUGGAAACGGUAGCUAAUACCGCAUAAUGUCGCAAGACCAAAGAGGGGGACCUUCGGGCCUCUUGCCAUCGGAUGUGCCCAGAUGGGAUUAGCUAGUAGGUGGGGUAACGGCUCACCUAGGCGACGAUCCCUAGCUGGUCUGAGAGGAUGACCAGCCACACUGGAACUGAGACACGGUCCAGACUCCUACGGGAGGCAGCAGUGGGGAAUAUUGCACAAUGGGCGCAAGCCUGAUGCAGCCAUGCCGCGUGUAUGAAGAAGG
rnacentral:rRNA from 1 species